GACUUUUUAAUUAUUGAAUAUAUAUUUAUUAUUUCAAAAUAUGUAAAAAAAUAUAAUACAUAAAAUAAUUUUUAUAUAUAAUGUUCAUUCCGUGCAAGGCGAGGGUCUUAACCUAGUCUAAGAUGAAAACUGAACUAAUGCUUUAAACAAAACCAGUCUAAUUUGGCUUAACAAAAAUAAAAAUAACUGAUGUUAUAAAAAAAAGAAUAAAAUAACUACACUUCAAUUUGAAAGAAUAGGUC
rnacentral:lncRNA from 1 species